rnacentral:rRNA from 1 species
UACGGAGGGGCUAGCGUUGUUCGGAAUUACUGGGCGUAAAGCGCACGUAGGCGGCUUUGCAAGUUAGAGGUGAAAGCCCGGGGCUCAACUCCGGAAUUGCCUUUAAAACUGCAUCGCUAGAAUUGUGGAGAGGUAAGUGGAAUUCCGAGUGUAGAGGUGAAAUUCGUAGAUAUUCGGAAGAACACCAGUGCGAAGGCGACUUACUGGACACAUAUUGACGCUGAGGUGCGAAAGCGUGGGAGCAACAGG